rnacentral:rRNA from 1 species
GAUGAACGCUAGCGGCAGGCUUAACACAUGCAAGUCGAGGGGUAACAGGGGAGCUUGCUCCCGCUGACGACCGGCGGACGGGUGCGUAACGCGUAUGCAACCUACCCAUAACAGGGGGAUAGCCCAGAGAAAUUUGGAUUAAUACCUCAUAAUACUAUUUAGUUGCAUGAUUGAAUAGUUAAAGAUUUAUCGGUUAUGGAUGGGCAUGCGUGCCAUUAGUUAGUUGGUAAGGUAACGGCUUACCAAGGCAACGAUGGCUACGGGGUCUGAAAGGAUGGUCCCGCACACUGGUACUGAGACACGGACCAGACUCCUACGGGAGGCAGCAGUGAGGAAUAUUGGACAAUGGGGGCAACCCUGAUCCAGCAAUGCCAUGUGUGUGAAGAAGGCUUUCGGGUUGUAAAGCACUUUAGUUUGGGGAGGAAGUUAUGUUGGUUAAUAGCUAAUGUAAUUGACGUUACCCAAAGAAUAAGGACCGGCUAACUCCGUGCCAGCAGCCGCGGUAA